CGCCUUGCCAGCCGCUCAGAACUAAAGGAAGUUGACGGGGCCCGCACAAGCGGUGGAGUAUGUGGUUUAAUUCGAUGCAACGCGAAGAACCUUACCUGGUCUUGACAUCCCGGAGACCCUUAGGAAACUAGGGGGUGCUUCCAUCUGGAAGAAUCUGGAGACAGGUGCUGCAUGGCUGUCGUCAGCUCGUGUCGUGAGAUGUUGGGUUAAGUCCCGCAACGAGCGCAACCCUUGCCUUUAGUUGCCAGCAGUUCGGCUGGGCACUCUAAAGGGACUGCCGGUGUUAAACCGGAGGAAGGUGGGGAUGACGUCAAGUCCUCAUGGCCUUUAUGACCAGGGCUACACACGUACUACAAUGGCCGAUACAAAGGGCAGCGACACUGCGAGGUGAAGCCAAUCCCGUAAAAUCGGUCUCAGUCCGGAUUGGAGUCUGCAACUCGACUCCAUGAAGUUGGAAUCGCUAGUAAUCGUGGAUCAGCAUGCCACGGUGAAUACGUUCCCGGGCCUU
rnacentral:rRNA from 1 species